AAGAGAGGAGGAAUGAAAAGGGAGAAGUGCAGAAAAGUUCCUUCACUUUUGAAUGAAGUGAUGAACCUCAUUUUCUUUGUCUGUCUUUAUUGUUUUUUUUUCUUUUUUUUUUGCUCCCUAUUUCCUCUUUUUUACUCUAGGGAA
rnacentral:ribozyme from 1 species